rnacentral:rRNA from 1 species
CAGCAGCCGCGGGAAUACGAAGGGGGCUAGCGUUGUUCGGAUUUACUGGGCGUAAAGCGCACGUAGGCGGACUUUUAAGUCAGGGGUGAAAUCCCGGGGCUCAACCCUGGAAUGUCGGCGGAUACUGCUCAGCUGGAGUACGGGAGGGGCGAGUGGAAUUCCGCGUGUAGCAGUGAAAUGCGUAGAUAUGCGGAGGAACACCGAUGGCGAAGGCAGCCCCCUGGGCCAAUACUGACGCUCAUGCACGAAAGCGUGGGGAGCAAACAGGAUUAGAUACCCCAGUAGUCCCUGUCUCUUAUAC